rnacentral:pre_miRNA from 1 species
UGUUGAUGAUGAAGAUGAUGAUGGUGAUGAUGAAGAUGAUGAUGAUGAUGAUGACCGUGAUGAUAAUAGCAAUGAUGGUGAUUACGAUGAUUACCAUCAUCAUCAUCAUCAUCAUCAUCAUCAUCAUCAUCAUCA